rnacentral:rRNA from 2 species
AAGAAGUGCAUCGGAAACUGGGAAACUUGAGUGCAGAAGAGGACAGUGAACUCCAUGUGUAGCGGUGAAAUGCGUAGAUAUAUGGAAGAACACCAGUGGCGAAGGCGGCUGUCUGGUCUGUAACUGACGCUGAGGCUCGAAAGUAUGGGUAGCAAACAGGAUUAGAUACCUGGUAGUCCAUACCGUAAACGAUGAAUGCUAAGUGUUGGAGGGUUUCCGCCCUUCAGUGCUGCAGCUAACGCAUUAAGCAUUCCGCCUGGGGAGUACGGCCGCAAGGCUGAAACUCAAAGGAAUUGACGGGGGCCCGCACAAGCGGUGGAGCAUGUGGUUUAAUUCGAAGCUACGCGAAGAACCUUACCAGGUCUUGACAUACUAUGCAAAUCUAAGAGAUUAGACGUUCCCUUCGGGGACAUGGAUACAGGUGGUGCAUGGUUGUCGUCAGCUCGUGUCGUGAGAUGUUGGGUUAAGUCCCGCAACGAGCGCAACCCUUAUUAUCAGUUGCCAGCAUUAAGUUGGGCACUCUGGUGAGACUGCCGGUGACAAACCGGAGGAAGGUGGGGAUGACGUCAAAUCAUCAUGCCCCUUAUGACCUGGGCUACACACGUGCUACAAUGGAUGGUACAACGAGUUGCGAACUCGCGAGAGUAAGCUAAUCUCUUAAAGCCAUUCUCAGUUCGGAUUGUAGGCUGCAACUCGCCUACAUGAAGUCGGAAUCGCUAGUAAUCGCGGAUCAGCAUGCCGCGGUGAAUACGUUCCCGGGCCUUGUACACACCGCCCGUCACACCAUGAGAGUUUGUAACACCCAAAGUCGGUGGGGUAACCUUUUAGGAACCAGCCGCCUAAGGUGGGACAGAUGAUUAGGGUGAAGUCGAA